AAAUGCCCUUGCUGGAAGAGAGAAGUUUGAAAACUACAACCUUCCUGGUUUUACUUCUUGAAUUUUCUGAUUGUUGCUGCUGGCAACAGACAAACAAGGACCCUGCUCCAAGAUGACCAGUGCUAACUCUGGAAAGGGUCCUGGUCAGGAGUUGAAAAUAAGGAAAACAGAGGAAGAAAACCACAAAGAAAGAGGCGUAUGAAAAGUAAAGAAAUGCAGAGCUGGAGGUGAACCUAAACACUUAGAGGUAAUUUGCCUUGAGGAGCAAGAACCCUUGAGACCUAUGUGUAGACUUUGGAAAAAAGAAUCUGUGAACAAUAGUAAAGGCGAUGAACGUGUUAUCCUCUGUCAGAACUCAGGUCAGUAAUCAUCAUUAAGCUUUUCAGAAAGAUGGGGAAAGUGGGAUAAUACGGAAAACCAUUACUUACAAAACCAUGUAGAGAACAAGAGACAUAAAAGGAGACAACAGAUUAUUUUUGCAUAGAUGAAAUCAUGAGCUCCUCCCUGGGUCCCUCCACAGUUCCUUUGAUCAAACCUCCGAGACCUCUCCUAUGAAGUGCAGCUUCUGAUCUGAUCAAACUCGCUGUUGAUCUGAUGGCAGCUGAAAGGACAAAUGGGAAAGACUGUAAAUCAAAGAUACGACAAAUGGGUGCCAUGUGCCAUCUCGGCAAUCGUUCUGUCCUCGAUCAAGUGUCCCAUGCUCAAGAGGUGCCCAAAUACUGUCAAGAAGGUGACAAGUCGAUACAGAAAGAAACUAAAUCAAAGGACACCCGAAGCUCUUGUUGAAGUCCUGUGUCUGAAACUUUUGACCAAAAUGUUUCAGAGCAUAUAGACAGGCCAAGAAUGUACCUCAAGGCCUGAGUGACAUUGUCAGAGCUACUCAGGCAACUCUAAAUACAGUGGUGAUGCAGAAAGGAAAGUUGCAGUAAAAAAGAUUUUGCUCUUAAGACUGUACAUGCCAAGAGUCUCUGCACACCUGGUCUGCUGCCAGGUAUUUUCUGCUUAACCACAGGUAAGCCAGAACAUCCUCCUUGUUGUCUUAACAAGCUGUGGGGAGAGCAGAGGGGGAACUUAUCUCCUGAGAUGAUCCUGGACACCCUACUACUAUAUACAACCCUUCAGUGUAGGUUUGCCCCAAAGGUACAGUCUGGUGCUGUCUGACAGGCUGCUUCUAUCAAGAAGUCAAGCAUUGCUCUGGAAAAGAGACUCGUCUUCGUGCGGUAAGUUUGUUCUAAACCUUGAUCCCACUGAGAUCAACAGUGUUUUGAAGUCAAUUUCCACUGAUUUCCAUGGUCUGGAGAUUAGAUUUCACUGCCUUUUCAACCUUGGAUCUCAAAAAUUCCUGACUGCCUUGCUCUGGCUCUUUUUUCUUUACUGCAGGAAAAAAGGAUGCUAUUUAACAUGAUGAGGUCUAAAUAACUGGGCACUAUGCAUGGAAACUACAGCUGUAUUGUUAUCCCCAUUUCACAGACAAGGAAGCUGUAUCUGGAAUGAUACCUACAAACUGCAGCAAAGCAGAAUCCAAAUUCCAUUCUGUAGAUAUCCUAGUACAAGGAAAUAUUUCAGCUUCAUUUUCAUUUGCAAAUAUUUCCAACAUCCUCAUCCUUAUCCUUAGUCGUUUGCAAAUGCAGCAGGAACUAGAAAUGCUUCGUGUUCAUUUUUCUACUGCAUUACUUUUCUUUCAUUUUCUUUUCUUUGUCAGUGGCAGUCAUUAACAGUUUGGCAAUAAAUCAGUUAUGGGUAAAAAUACACUAAUAGGUAGUUGAGCCUUCUUCUGCUCGUGCUGAUUGAGGUAAAAUACUACAGAGAAAAUGCACUGAUAUUUUCAAACUGGAAUGGAGUAUUUUUUUUCCAAAACUGGAUUGACUUGCAAGCCUCAACACCCAUAACUUUGGCUAAGAAUUAGGCACCUUAAAAAAGAGACUGAGAUCUUUUUCAGAUUUUGCAUUACUGAGGAAGUAUCCUUAGUUCAGCAACCAGUCAAAGAAGGCAGUUGGAGAGCUACAUUUUAGGUGACACUUCGGAAUUGUAGUUUUUUGGUAUUUAUCAACUGCUGUAUUUUCAGCUUGAAGGUACCAAUGUUUUUGUGUCAUUUAAUAAAUUACAAAAUGUUUACGUGCAAUUAGGUAUGUGCCUGUGCAGGAGAAGACACUGGGAAACAGGAUUUUCCAGAGGCAGUAGCUAGUUCCGAGGCCCAGAGUCACUGCAGUAGCUGUUGUCAGGGAGGACUGAGUGGCAGUUCUAAUUACCACUGUCUGUGCAGGUUUCUCAUAGGAAGAUAUAAGCUGUCAUGAUCCCUUGCCAAGACACAGGAGAACUGACCUAGGGAGAACAUCAACUAAAGGAAAUACAAGCAACUUGCACUCACAAGAAAGAAGUCAUGAAGCAACCUACUCUAUACAAAAAAUGGAAGACCUAGGUUUAUAGAAAAGACACCACUUUUGUGCCUGCCCCAGUGAAAGCUGAAAACCAAAUCUGCUCGCUCUCCUUGAGAGAGAAGGAUGUUCAGCUCCAGCAUACCAGAGCUCAUGCUGAGUUGUAGCUGAAGAUGUCAUUCACAAUAAACAUGAGCUGCUGUGACAAUACGAUGGCAGAAGGUUGUCUCCUGACUGGAAAAUGGACAGUCAAAAAGUCCCGUGACCUUUCUGCCCUUUACACUGAAAGGAAAAUGAACUGCCUGGUCAUAGGAUGAAUGUUGUCUUGGGUCACCAUCAAGAUCCUGACCUGCCUAACUGAUGUGACACAGGGAAAGAGGAUGACCCAGCAAUGAAGAAACCCUCCAGUGGUCAAGACUGCCUAGCCAUAAUUGCAUGUUCAUGUGCAAGGGUUGAGUUCUUCGGAGGGUGUGAACUAGAGUGGUGUGGUUGAAGUGCCUGGAAUAACACUGGUGGUCACUGGCUCAAAUUUUGGCCUGAAGCUGAAGUCCUGGUGACAGUGAGCUAGUCUUCUGGAAGGGAAUGUGUUCCUUGGCAUGCAGGAUUAUAUGGUUACAGGUCUUGGGGACAACAGGUCCAGAUUUCUGCUGAAGUAUCAGCCAUGCUUUCCUACCUUGGCGCAAGGAGACAGAUGCUCUAAUCAAACAAAUUACCUAGCCCAUGAUCACAGCCACUGAGCCAGAGAUGGUUUUGCAGUCGCUUGUCUGGAGCCCUCCGAGCCCCCCUCAACCAAGGAGCAUCGCUUAAAAGAAAGAGCUAAUGUUUUCCACUGAAGCUUCUUUUGGGAACAGGCUUGAAGAGCUGCUGAACUGAGGCUGUGACGAUGUGCAAAUGAUACUUAUCAUCAAUGCAGAGCCAGCUGGCAAAGGGGGAAAUUACAAAAGCAGGGCAAACGCACCUAUUAGAUGUGUCAGGAUGGACAGCAAGAUCUUACAUGGUCAGAGUUCAAGGUGUAAACAGACAUGCCCUCUGCAAGCAGCUGUGCUGAAGGAAGAAGUUGCCACCUAUGACCAGACCUCCCGCUUGUUCUUUAACACCCUCUGCUGGAAAACGCCGCCUCCUCCUACCCACCAGCAAAGCUGCUCGCCUGGGUCCAGCACCUCCAGACCGUGCUCCAAAAACUUCCUGCUGAGAUGAGGCCUUUCCUGUGCAAAUCUCCUCCUGAUGGGCUGCAGCCGUCAGAAGGAAGCUGAGUGGGAAUAUAAAGGUGGAUUUAAAGAGGCUGCCUCAGUGGUAUCAUGACCAGCCUCCCCAAGAGGACUUGUGCAAGUGGUGCUUGGAAAUGUCCUUGGAGUGAUGGUCUUUGGCUUUAAAAAGUGGCCAGGCUGCCUCGGUGGGAUGGAAAGGAGCAGACCUGGGGGUGCAGCCAGCACCUGACACCCACAGCAUCCAUCACCCUCCAGCUCUCUGAGAGCAAGUGGGGUUUCAACAUGUGAACGUCAGCUUUAGGUCUAUUUAUUUGCCCUCCUGGAAAAGAGAAUGUAUUUUGAGACGUCAAAAUAUUUUGUUCGCUUUCAUUCGAUUGCAAGAGGAGCCUUAGGUGAGGGAAAGUUUAUCUGGAGGAAGGCAGGCGAGAGGCAGCCACCCUCAGCCCCAGCCGCCUGGUUCCUGCUCCCGAGUGGGUGGAGGAAGCGUCACAGUGUGGGGAGCAUAUUUCUUCCCCAGUUGUCAGCAAGCUGUGCUUUAAUAAGGGCAUAACAAAGAAUGCAUGAAGGAACAUUAGCUGCAAAAGUUAUCCCAUUGGGAAGGAAGCUUGGAAGAGGUUUUUGUUUCUAAAUGUGACACCAAGGCUGGAAACCCGGCACACAUCUGUGCAAACCUGCCCAAGGACGGAAGGCAUCGGGCGCUGGAGAUCUCCCCCUUGCUCAAGGCAGUCCCGCCAAGGUGGGGUGGACUUGGUUGGGGAAGUGGGUAGUUUUUUCCACAUCAUGCCAGGAUGGGGUGCGUGAGACACCAGUGCCGCAUCAGGGCUUUCUUAUCAGUGACGUGUCUGUUGGUGUUUUUUUCAUCUAGAGUCUGCUCAUGGCAUCUUGAAAUUAAGGGAGAAAAACAGUUUCCAGGAAAAUGUAGAAGAGGCCUGACCCCACUGGCUUCAGAAAAAAAAAAUCCCCAAAAUUGAAAAAAUAAAGAGGAAUAA